CAAAUUUACAGUGUCAGACGCGCACAGACUGUCAUACGAAUAAACAUAAAUUUUCGAGUUUUCUACUUCUACUAACAUUUUUAAAGUUUUCAUUGUGAAUCAAUCUCAAAUAUAUUUGUAUAUUUAUUUGAUAGUGUCAUAGUGAUAUAUGCAUUUACAAGCAAUCCUGGAUAUGAUAAAGACGAUACAAGCUGUCCAUUAAAAAAUACAGUAACGGUAUUCUAUUCCACAAAGCAAAAAAGUUAAAUCUCACUUGUAUUAUUAAGAAUAUAUAUAAAAGCAAAAAAUUUAAACUUGUGUGAGUUGUGUCAAAAUGAGUGCUGUUUAUAAAAUUUAUAAAUGUUGUAAACACUACUAUUAAUAUAUCUUUACUCUUUGGACCUACUAAAUUACACAUCUGGUAUAUACUUCAUCUGUGGCUAUAGCCAAUGAACCGGCUGAGUUUUAUUUUGAAAAAUGUGUCCAGUAACAGGAUGCGAGCAUCCCGCAUAGACACAGAGAAAAAUAUCGACAAAACACCGUAAACUUUCGUAAAUUUAUCAACAUUUAAAGCUGUACUUUGACAAAAAAAAGUUACAGACAGGUUAUAGUAAAAUUAUCCUUGUUUAUGUUCAUGUUGUUUUUAGGGCUAGUUUCUUCCAACUUUUUAAAAUACUACGGAUAUAUUUUUGUAUGUAGUUCAAACAGUUGAAACCCUUUGCCAACCUUAAGCCGGUUUUCCACUUCAAGCGUACCGUACCGAAACGUAUUAAAAACGUUUUUAAAUUUCAAAAUUUCGUGAAUGUUGAUUGGUUAUUACUUCCGUAGUACGCCAAAAACUUUUUAUUUUGAUACGCGAAUACACCUGGAAUUGGAAGUACGUGGAUUUAUAAACCUCUUCUCAAUCUGCGCAUGCUCACCAGUACCACAAGAAUAAGAAGGUAUAGCAGAAGUGUAACUCGAGUCGGUUCCCUUAUUGUUUUACGUCCACGAAAAUUUUAACUCGCUCACGCCAGGCCACGCCAUCCUGGCUAGUACCACAGAAUAGAAAAUAAACCAGAAGCCUCACUGUGCCAAAAUUAUGUCCGAGAUUUUUUAUGCGCAGGCGCGAGCCAGCAAGUGUAAUCCACGCCAUCAAAGGCGAGCAAUUACGCCAUCAAUUGCCAUUACCAGGUAAUAAAGAUUGCUGUUUUAACCGUUUUGCUGACGAACGCUGACGUGAUGUUCGCAGCAAGUGUCACACACGUCAUCUAGCGUGCGAAAUUCGUGAUCCGCAAGGCAAAAAUCGCGGACACGAAAAUGUUAAGGAAAGGUGUACAGUGAGGCUUCUGGUCUAUUAUAUAUUCUAUGCUAGUACAGCCGGAAGUUUUUAUCAGGAUUUGGUAGGUACAAAGUGCCGGUUGUACUAGCCAGGAUGGCGUGAUUGAUGACGAAUCGCUUGUAAAAACGCGGACAAAUACUUGCUUGAGUUACGCUUCUGCUAUACCUUCCUAUUCUGUGCCAGUACGUUUCGGUACGAUACGGGCGAAGUGGAAAACCGGCUUUAGGUAUACUUUAAUAUACGCCAGUUCGCCGAUAGUGCAAUCGAGUGGCGAUUUAAUAUAAGCUACAUUUCGCAAUAUAUUUCGCUAAUUUGUGAUUAUUUUAGUUAAAUUUUAUAAUUUCACUGCAGUUUAAAUUUAAAUUCAGUCGUUUAGUGGGCUGCCUACACGUGUAAAAAUUCAUCAGGUUGUUCGGCGUUGUUCAUUGAACAAUACCUGAACAAUGUUGUUAUCAUGGCUGAACAACGUUGUUCAAGCAACAAUCGUUAACAACAUUGUUCCAACAACUUGUUCACGCUUGAUGAACGAACAAUGGUUGUUGCAACAUGAUGGAACAAGCGUCAACAAGGUUGAUGAAACAUGCUUGAUAAAUGUUGUCAGAACAAUGUUGUUCAGCGUUGUUCAUUCAUCAGGCGUCAACAAUGUUGUUCGAACAGCUAGCGUUAACAACAUUGAUGAAAGAACAAGUUGUUUUUAGUUGUUAGAACAACCGUGAACAGCAUUGUUAUAAAUAGACGGUAAAAUAAUGAUUUGAACAACACGAAAACUUGUUUUUAUUGGUUGUUGCGAAGCGCUGGGAUGCAAAACGGACGAAUGCGACGAAUAUCACGAGAGCAAGAAAUCAAACGGCCGGGCCACAGAUGAUAGAUAAUACCAGAUGAAUCACUCAGCCAAAAUUGUGUCCGCGAUUUUUUAUGAACACGCGUUGGCCGCCAUUUUGGCAGUAAGUGUAAUUCACGCAUUUUGGCAGUAAGCGCCAUUUUGGCAAUAAGUGUCGCACGCGCGAAAAUCGCGGACACGAAAAUCAUAGGGAUAGAUCUGGGAUAGAUACACAGUGAGACAUCUGGUAUGAUCUAUAAUCUAUGGCCGGGCUUUUGCAGCAAAAUAAAUGUCGUUUAAACUUUGUGGUUUUUUCUGAAGAUUGAGGGGAAAAUACUGAAGAAAAUAACUUGGUAUUAAAGUAUCUUGUUUUGAGGUAAGGUUAGUUGUAAAAGCUUAAAACAACGCGACCUUUUGAUUUUAGUCAUUUUUAUAGUACACGAAGAAAUGCACACGCACAAACUUUAUAGUAUACUUUUAUAUAGGCAUUGCAUUUUGAUAUUUUUCUCGAUAUUUUCAGUAUAUAUGCCAAACAAGAAACCAUGGUCAAACUGUAAUAAAAAGCCGUAAUAUAUAUAAACAAAACAUUUAGUUCUCAAAAUAUUGUUCAAAUUUUUCCAAUUACGCUUUAAAUUUCUGUCAGAGUCUUUUUAACUUUGAAAUUUGACUGAAUAUGUCAAAAAAGCUAUCAUCAUAUGUCCUCCGAUCCGCUCCUUCCGUCCCUAUUGUUGUUUGUAAUUUUGAUCACUGCUAUAUAUAGACAAUUCCUAUUGUGUUUUAACAAGGUCAACCAAAUACUUGAUCAGUUUACACACCAAGAAUGAUGUAUUUACUGCAUAUAAUAUGUGAUGGAUAAAUUAUAAGUAGGUAUAGGUAAGAGUGCAUACAGUUAAGUAAUUAGCCAUUUCCUGGGUCUAGUCGCACGAAUCCCUUGUUUGGAGGGCCAAGAAAUAUGGCAGCACACAUGAAUUAAAUAUUUAAUGUAAAAAGGAGAUAUUUCAAUUUUCAGUCAUGGAAAAAGUUUAUAUUUGAUGGUAGAUACUUCUACUCGUUCAACAUUUGACGCCUGUCAUCAUAUUUUUUGUCCCUCCAAACGAUUCCAGAAUUCACUGUGAUCUCUUUUGGGAAAAGGCUAAUUGUAGUUACUACCAGCCAGUCAUAUUUCCUUUUAUUUCCUGUGUUAAACAGUGACUAUGAUUGUCAUGGAAGGUAUGAAAGAGGUAGCUAUGAUUUCUCACAUGGCUAUGGGGGAUAAUCAUAUGAUCAUAAUUAUGCUCAAAUGUAAUUAUUGUCUCAUUUUUAUCCUUUUUGUAGUGUAAAGUAUAAAAAUAAAGAUCUAUGAAUAUGUCAGACAAAUUAUAUACAAUGGGUGAUCACUUGGUAAGUAAUUUUUAUACCUUUGUUGUGGUCUGUGUAGAUUGAGGCUAUUUUGGCAAUAGCCAUGCACUUAUAGACAUAGCAUGACCAGUCCAUAUGUGGACUGCCUAUGUCUAUUUAACAUGAUUGAAUACCCAAAUUAGAUUCAAGAUUAUGAUAUGUCCCAGGCAUGGAUCCAAAAAUGACCAUGUACUGAAGUUAUAUGGCAUGACCCAUGUAAAAUAUAUAUGGUGGGAAACAUACAAUUGGGGCUGCAUCCCACCAUAUUAAAACAUUGCAAUUAAAGGUCCAUUUUGUAAAUUAAUGGCAUUAUGUAUUUAUAAUCUUAAUUUAUAGGGCCUGUGAGUUCAUAUCUGGAAUAAAAUAAUGGCGGAUCUACAGAAAUAUCACUGCCAAGGAGUGUCAAACAAGUUCAGAAGGACUGAAACUGGAUGUUCUCAGGAUGAAAAAGAAAUUGUUGACUUUAAUUGAAUAAUCAUUAUCAUUAUUGUAAGGUUAAAAAUAUCGAACGUUCAAAAGGAUGCAGACAGAAAAUUGAUACUCUGAUGCAGUAAUUAAUAGUCUUCAUUUAUUCUUCUUCAGUCAAUAAUUAUCACUUAUUUACUGAGACCGAGGGUCCACAAAACACACUGCUUUCCCGAGGUCUCAGUAAAUAAGUGUUUUAUUAUAUAUCAAUAGUCAAAGAAACAACAAAUUAAAGAACAAAUGAACGUAAAUACAUGAAAUAUUUUAUUGUUACAACGUUAAAAUAAACACUGCAGUUUCUUAAAGCGAAAGUUUAAAUUACUAGGCAUGUCCAAAGGUCGCAUCUUCACGUGAUGACGCACGUAAUUUUUUUUCGUUAUUCGCCGGUCGAUAACGUAUUGUUUCCCUCUCGCGCCGUUGCGAGGGAGACAGUCUAAUUUCGUCACUCUCACGUGAUAUGCUCUCGACCAAUAAAACACUAGAAAAAUCCGACUUUGACUAUUGGUAUAUAAUAACACCAUUUAGUUUCCUAAUACAUUGUUUACUGUAUAUAUAAACUAUAAGGUUUGCCAUUUGAGUGAUCCAGGAAUGGGGUUGGCCCUCUGGCUAAAUCAAUUGAGGGAGAUCCCUUUAUUUCAAGUUAAAUGAUGAUUUGAAUAAGAUGCCAUUCAGGCAAUAAGGGCCUGGUUAGGUCCAUAUUUUAAUUCAAAUUAUUAAGUACUCGAUUUAUCCAUCUACAAAACGCAACAUUAAAAUUUCCAUCGAGUGAGAUGCAACAAAACCAUCUAUAGUUUAUUAAUUAUGUUGACCUAACCCAUCAACUGGCAAUGAGCCUACUUUAGUAUUUUAUAUACUCUAUCUCUAAUUUGCCCAUUAUAUUUAUAAACUGACAGUUAAUACUAUUACUCUUUCACAUACUAAUAAAAUCAUCUAGGGCCGGUUGUUCGAAGCCCGUGUAGGCCUUUGAACUACCGGCCCCAGAUGAUUUUAUUAGUCGGUGAAAGAUUAAUUAUUAACUGUCAGUUACAGAGUGUCAGCUAGUUUAUAAAUAAAAUGGGCAAAUAUAUGAUUAUAUUUAUAAACUGCAUGCAUGGUUCAUAAUAUCUCUGUGAUAGACUUGCUCCAACAGAUUCAAAUUCCAUCCGGAAAUACCUAAAUAAUAAUUAUAGAGGUUGUAGUGUUGCACUACCUUUUGCUAAAAUACUGCCAUGGUUUACUGCAGUAUUAUAAAUAGUACUUAGUAUUUUAUAAACCUUAAUUGCAUAUAAAAUAGUUUAUAGUUAUCUUACCUUUGUACUUUUACUGUAAUUAACUCUUUAGUUUGUAUUUGUUCACUAA